AGUGAACGCUGGCGGUAGGCCUAACACAUGCAAGUCGAACGGCAGCACAGUAAGAGCUUGCUCUUACGGGUGGCGAGUGGCGGACGGGUGAGGAAUACAUCGGAAUCUACUUUUUCGUGGGGGAUAACGUAGGGAAACUUACGCUAAUACCGCAUACGACCUACGGGUGAAAGCAGGGGAUCUUCGGACCUUGCGCGAUUGAAUGAGCCGAUGUCGGACUAGCUCGUUGGCGGGGUAAAGGCCCACCAAGGCGACGAUCCGUAGCUGGUCUGAGAGGAUGAUAAGCAAAACUGGAACUGAGACAAGGUCCAGACUCCUACGGGAGGCAGCAGUGGGGAAUAUUGGACAAUGGGAGCAAGCCUGAUCCAGCCAUACCGCGUGGGUGAAGAAGGCAUUCGGGUUGUAAAGCCCUUUUGUUGGGAAAGAAAAGCAGCAGGUUAAUACCCCGCUGUUCUGACGGUACCCAAAGAAUAAGCACCGGCUAACUUCGUG
rnacentral:rRNA from 1 species